rnacentral:lncRNA from 1 species
AAUUGAAAAAUAAGCUGUCAAGGUUCUUCGAAGAAGUAAAGAGAUAGAACUCCUUGAAUUGGAUUUCCCUCUUUGAUUCAGAGUUGAACACAGAAGGGUCCCGUUCACUUCGUAACUACUCAGUCAUGGAGUGCCAUUAAGGAUACCCUUGAACUGUGUACCAGAGAAGGGGAAUUUAAAAGCAUCCUUUUUUUCCCCUGUGCUAUUUUCACACUUGCGUUGCUGGGAGACUGA